rnacentral:rRNA from 1 species
UACGUAGGGGGGCUAGCGUUGUCCGGAAUCAUUGGGCGUAAAGCGCGUGUAGGCGGUCCGGUAAGUCCGCUGUGAAAGUCGGGGGGCUCAACCCUCGGAUGCCGGUGGAUACUGUCGGGCUUGAGUACGGAAGAGGCGAGUGGAAUUCCAGGUGUAGCGGUGAAAUGCGUAGAUAUCUGGAAGGAACACCGGUGGCGAAGGCGGCAUCCUGGACCACACUGACACU